UCCCCUUCCUCGUUCUUAUCCUUUAUCUUCUCCCCUUGUUCUGUUUUGCUUCCAACCUCAUCAUCUCUGCAAUUCUAAUUCAACCGUUAGGGUUCUUGAGUUGUAUAGGAAAAUAUCGUCGCGGGUUGUGAUACGACUUACGAGAAAUCUCACCGAAAUCUUGAGACCCUUCCCUUCUCUUGCUCAUUUCUUCUCUUCGUCAUGGUGAAAAACGAAGAAACUUUCUGUUAGGACAAUCUCUAGUUACGUAUUACGCAAGUCAAAAAAUGGCGAAAGCUCCACUGGCAACAAGCUCGGGUUCAGACACAGGUGGGAGAUAUGCGGAGAUGGAUGAGAAGAAGAGGAGACGAAUGAUAUCUAACAGAGAAUCCGCAAGAAGAUCGAGAUUGAAGAAGCAGAAGCAAAUGGAGGAGAUGGUCCACGAGAUAUCGAUCCUCCAGAGGAAAAUCAAAGAGAACAGAGACAGAUGCAUGGUCAUGAGCGAGAGCCUGACAACUAUCGAAUCGGAGAACGUGUUUUUGAGGACGGAGAUGACGAGAUUGAUGAACUACAUGAACAAUCUGGAGAUGAUCACGAAGAACUUGACAACGCAGAAUAGCGAUCAGAACGCGGAAACUGUGACAGGAGAUUGCAGAAGGCCUUGUUCAUUGGGUUUUUGUGUUGGCAGUGAUGGAUUUGGUCUGUAAUAAGAGGCGUCUUCUCUUGUAUUAUUGCCUUGUAACAAUCACUUCAACAUGGUUACCUGACGCAAACGCAAAACGCAAACGCAUCUUGCUGGAGUCGCACCUAUAUCGCGUGCAGUGAUGACUUGAUGAACAAGCAUUGUUCAUGUUAUUUCGGUCUAAGCUUGACGUGGACGGAUGCCUCUCUCAGAAUACCCCUGAAGUUCUGUAAUAUUACUGCUACUGCCACUGCCACUGCCAUUCCCAACAGUUGCGGUGGACUUGGAUAUUCGACACCUGCGUGAAGAAUGGAGAUUCGGCGUAGAGAGAUUAUUUGAAGGAAUAUCUUCGAUUGCUCAAAACGGAAUCGCAGAAUUUUCCUCGUCGAUUUCUCUACUCUUUCGCCGUGAGAUCGAUCGAUCCGGUUUCUCCGAACCCUAGCUGAAGAAUCUCCGAACAAAAACGAAGAGCAAUGCCCUUCUGGUGGCCGCCGAUCAUCAUCGCCUGCGCUUACGCGAUCUGAAAAUUCCUUCUGAUGUUCGUUCCUCCCAAUCUUUCUUCAAUUGACGUCGUCGCAUCCGACGGAGAAAGUGUGCAUUUGUGAAUGCAGUCUGCGCGAUCGACGUCUGAUUUGGAGGUUGUUCAUCGAAUCGGUGAACAGUUCUGGCGCAUGUAUGUGAGUCCUUCCACGAUAUUGGUUGCUCGGAUUUCAUCGAUAUUGUUGCAAUUAAUGAUCGGAAUUUUAUCUACUACGUCGGAGGUUGCGCGCGAUGUUUGCACUUGAAAGUUUAUGCUGAGUUUGUCUCUGAUUUAGUCAUGGCAAUACUUUGGCUGAAUACAAUCACAGGCUCGUAGACCAUGUGAUUUAAUUUCAUUCCAAUGACAUUAAGUUAGAUUUCCAUAUUUGUGAUUUGAAAGCGAUUAGCUCAUGCAGUUUUGCAUGCUAGUUCAUCGAUUUGGGAUCCGGAGGUUUACAGUUUAGUCUAAGUUAAAUGAGGUCUUAUGAAAUACUGAACUGAAUCAUCUGCGUUUCUAAUCUGAAAUGGUGUGUGGAUUCAUCAGAAAUGGAAAGGUCUGCAUAAGUUAUACCUUUUUGUCCAGCUUCUGAAGUAUUAUAUCAUUGAACACAAGAUUCUGUUUUGAUUAUAAGAGGUUUUGCUGUUAGAUUUUUGUUUGUUUGUUCCUUUUCCUCGUUAGUUUCUCUCAAUCUCUAGAAAUAAUUAUAGUUUCUAUGCUUGUUUAGGACAUGCAUCAACUAAUAUCCCUUUGACAGCAUUUUCAAUCCUAUCAUGGAUGCAGUCUUUUUAGGAAACGGCAUUGCUAUUAAGGUAUAAUUUUUGUUUUGGUAACCGGAUAUCUCGAGCCAAGGUCCAGACUAAUCACGGAGCCGAGAGCCAGCCAGAUGAUUUGGAAUAUACACUCCCUCCCCAAACUUGAGGUUCGAACUCGAGGCGGGACUGACGUUUUGCACCCCAUUUCACCGGUUGAAGUACCCAAGUUUGGAUCUAUUAAGGAGGCUUCCCCGGAGGAGAGACCCUUGAUUUCUUCAAAGGUGUGUAUAUGACUGACUUCUUCCGAACACGAACUUCAGACCAUCGAACGCCUCGUGAUAUGGACUUAAUGAUCGCCGCUUUGCUUUUCUCGAUCGUUAACCCAAAGAGAAAACGCUAAAGGAGACCGGAUGGUGUGAGUUACAAAAACCCUUUUUCUUCUGCAGGUUUCUUCACCUAUGGACCCCCAUGUUCUAGGGGUGGUGGGUUUGGUAUCCAAGGUCACUGAGUAUCUGCCCGACCCAUGAGUUGGAUAUUGAAUUAUCGUUGGAUCAUGCGGGUACCUAAAGAUUGAGUAUUCGACCUUUCACGAGGUUGAGAUCGGGUAGAAUGAUCAAGAAAUCUGAGGUGGUCUCGAGACCGAGAUCGGAUAGUCUGAUCGAGAAAUCAAGUCCAAGGGGGUCGAGGCUGAGAUCAACUCCUACCCUUUUCAGCUUCAAAUCAUUAACUACAGACAUGGAUUAGGUUAUGAAAAUUAGUAUUAAUUUAUGUAUGUGGUUUAAUAAAAUCAGAUUAAUAUUUUUUAAAUGUAUUAUUAUUUACUAAUGUUUUCGAUAAUAUAUAUAUAUUUUUUAAUAUUUGUAGAAAAAGAUGUUGAGAGGGUGGAGUUUGGGGGAGAACUCUGGGUGAACAAACACAUGGGAAAUCUUACAUGUAUGUUCUCAAAAAGUACACAUAGUACUAAACAACUCAUAGUGUUUUGUCCUCUUUCAGAUUCGUU